GAUGAACGCUGGCGGCGUGCCUAACACAUGCAAGUCGAACGGAGAUUACGGACGGAAGUUUUCGGAUGGAAGUUUGUAAUUCUUAGUGGCGGACGGGUGAGUAACGCGUGGGCAACCUGCCCUAUACAGGGGGAUAGCAGCUGGAAACGGCUGGUAAGACCGCAUAAGUCGGUUAAAUCGCAUGAUUUGAUCGGGAAAUGAGCAAUCAGGUAUAGGAUAGGCCCGCGUCCGAUUAGCCAGUUGGCAGGGUAAAAGCCUACCAAAGCGACGAUCGGUAGCCGGACUGAGAGGUCGGACGGCCACAUUGGGACUGAGACACGGCCCAAACUCCUACGGGAGGCAGCAGUGGGGGAUAUUGCACAAUGGAGGAAACUCUGAUGCAGCGACGCCGCGUGAGUGAAGAAGUAUUUCGGUAUGUAAAGCUCUAUCAGCAGGGAAGAUGAUGAC
rnacentral:rRNA from 1 species